GUGCUGCCUUCGGCAGCACAUAUUCUAAACUAUGAAUAAUACAGAGAAGAUUAGCAUGGCCCCUGUACAAGGAUGACAUGCGAAUUCGUGAAGCGUUCCAUAUUCUU